rnacentral:rRNA from 1 species
AAUUCCAGCUCCAAUAGCGUAUAUUAAAGUUGUUGUGGUUAAAAAGCUCGUAGUUGAACCUUGGGCCUGGCCGUCCGGUCCGCCUCACCGCGUGUACUGGCUCGGCCGGCCUUUCCCUCUGUGGAACCCCAUGCCCUUCACUGGGCGUGGCGGGGAAACAGGACUUUUACUGUGAAAAAAUUAGAGUGCUCCAGGCAGGCCUAUGCUCGAAUACAUUAGCAUGGAAUAAUAGAAUAGGACGUGUGGUUCUAUUUUGUUGGUUUCUAGGACCGCCGUAAUGAUUAAUAGGGACAGUCGGGGGCAUCAGUAUUCAAUUGUCAGAGGUGAAAUUCUUGGAUUUAUUGAAGACUAACUACUGCGAAAGCAUUUGCCAAGGAUGUUUUCAUUAAUCAGGAACGAAAGUUAGGGGAUCGAAGACGAUCAGAUACCGUCGUAGUCUUAACCAUAAACUAUGCCGACUAGGGAUCGGACGGUGUUAUUUUUUGACCCGUUCGGCACCUUACGAGAAAUCAAAGUGCUUGGGCUCCAGGGGGAGUAUGGUCGCAAGGCUGAAACUUAAAGAAAUUGACGGAAGGGCACCACCAGGGGUGGAGCCUGCGGCUUAAUUUGACUCAACACGGGGAAACUCACCAGGUCCAGACACAAUGAGGAUUGACAGAUUGAGAGCUCUUUCUUGAUUUUGUGGGUGGUGGUGCAUGGCCGUUCUUAGUUGGUGGAGUGAUUUGUCUGCUUAAUUGCGAUAACGAACGAGACCUUAACCUGCUAAAUAGCCCGUAUUGCUUUGGCAGUACGCUGGCUUCUUAGAGGGACUAUCGGCUCAAGCCGAUGGAAGUUUGAGGCAAUAACAGGUCA